GACGAACGCUGGCGGCGUGCUUAACACAUGCGAGUCGAACGGAAAGGCCCUGCUUGCAGGGUGCUCGAGUGGCGAACGGGUGAGUAACACGUGGGUGAUCUGCCCCUUAUUUUGGGAUAAGCCUGGGAAACUGGGUCUAAUACUGGAUAGGACCAUGCUGUAGGUGGUGUGGUGGAAAGAUUAGUUUCGGUAAGGGAUGAGCUCGCGGCCUAUCAGCUUGUUGGUGGGGUAAUGGCCUACCAAGGCGUCGACGGGUAGCCGGCCUGAGAGGGUGGACGGCCACAUUGGGACUGAGAGACGGCCCAGAGUCCUACGGGAGGCAGCAGUGGGGAAUAUUGCACAAUGGGCGCAAGCCUGAUGCAGCGACGCCGCGGGGGGGAUGACGGCCUUCGGGCUGUAAACUCCUUUCAGCCAUGACGAAGCCCUUGUGGUGACGGUAGUGGUAGAAGAAGCACCGGCUAACUACGUG
rnacentral:rRNA from 1 species